UACGGGGGGGAGCAAGCGUUGUUCGGAUUUACUGGGCGUAAAGGGCGCGUAGGCGGCGCAACAAGUCACUUGUGAAAUCUCCGGGCUUAACCCGGAGCGGUCAAGUGAUACUGUCGUGCUAGAGUGCGGAAGGGGCUACUGGAAUUCUCGGUGUAGCGGUGAAAUGCGUAGAUAUCGAGAGGAACACCUGCGGCGAAGGCGGCUCGCUGGGCCAUUCCUGACGCUGGAGAACGCGAAAAGCCGUGGGGGAGCAAACAGG
rnacentral:rRNA from 1 species